rnacentral:rRNA from 1 species
GAUGAACGCUAGCGGCAGGCCUAAUACAUGCAAGUCGAACGGUGUCUUCGGACAUAGUGGCGCACGGGUGCGUAACACGUAUGCAACCUACCUUACAUUGGGGGAUAGCCUUUCGAAAGGGAGAUUAAUACCGCAUAAGACAGUAGCUGGGCAUCCAGCAGCUGUUAAAGAUUUAUCGAUGUAAGCUGGGCAUGCGUCCAAUUGGCUAGUUGAUGAGGUAACGGCUCACCAAGGCACUGAUUGGCAGGGGAACUGAGAGGUCAAGCCCCCACACUGGCACUGAGAUACGGGCCAGACUCCUACGGGAGGCAGCAGUAGGGAAUAUUGGGCAAUGGACGCAAGUCUGACCCAGCCAUGCCGCGUGCAGGAUGAAGGCGUUAUGCGUUGUAAACUGCUUUUAUACAGGAAGAAACGACUCUUGCGAGAGGCAUUGACGGUACUGUAUGAAUAAGCACCGGCUAACUCCGUGCCAGCAGCCGCCGUAA